rnacentral:other from 1 species
AGCGCCCGACGUUGUUGGUGGCCGGCUUUCGUUUGCGCCAACACUUCGACGUAGGGGACCGUACUUUCGGUCGCGGAAGGCACCCGGCUUCGGCUGCGGGUACCGGAAACGGCUGGGGCGGACCCCACCUGUUCCCUCGAGAGCAGGUGCAAACGUCGACCGGUCACGGCACUCGUGGAGCGCUG